GAGACAGGUAACUAUGGCCUACCACAGCUUCCUGGUGGAGCCCAUCAGCUGCCAUGCCUGGAACAAGGACCAUACACAGAUCGCCAUCUGCCCCAACAACCAUGAAGUACACAUCUAUGGGAAGAGCGGUGCCAAGUGGAACAAGGUGCACGAGCUCAAGGAGCACAACGGGCAGGUGACAGGCAUCGACUGGGCCCCUGAGCAUAACCGCAUUGUGACCUGCGGCACAGACCGCAAUGCCUAUGUGUGGACGCUGAAGGGCCGCACGUGGAAGCCCACACUGGUCAUCCUCCGGAUCAAUCGAGCUGCCCACUGUGUGCGCUGGGCCCCCAGUGAGAACAAGUUCGCCUUGGGCAGCGGCUCCCAGGUCAUUUCCAUCUGUUAUUUUGAGCAGGAGAAUGGCUGGUGGGUGUGGAAACACAUCAAAAAGCCCAUCCUCAGCCUGGACUGGCAUCCCAACAAUGUGCUCCUGGCAGCAGGCUCCUGUGACUUCAAGUGCAGGAUCUUCUCUGCCUAUAUCAAAGAGGUGGAAGAACGGAACGGCCAGCCCCUACAAGGUGAGGCUCCAAGAUGCCCUUUGGGGAGCUGAUGUUUGAAUCGAGCAGCAGCUGUGGCUGGGUGCACAGCAUCUGCUUCUCAGCCAGUGGGAGCCGAGUUGCUUGGGUCAGCCAUGACAGCACUGUAUGCCUGGUAGACGCUGACAAGAAGAUGGCCGUGGCAACCCUGGCCUCUGAGACAUUACCACUCCUGGCCGUCACCUUCAUCACAGAAAAAUAGUCUAGUGGCAGCAGGCUACGACUGCUUCCCGGUGCUGUUAACCUAUGACAAUGCUGCGGUGACAUUGAGCUUCGGUGGCCGGCUGGAUGUGCCCAAGCAGAGCUCCCAGCGUGGUAUGACAGCUUGAGAGCACUUCCAGAACCUGGACAAGAAGGCCAGCUCUUAGGGGGGUGCAGCCACUGGGGCCGGCCUGGAUUCACUGCAUAAGAACAGUGUCAACCAAAUCUUGGUGCUCAGUGGGGGCAAGGCCAAGUGCUCACAGUUCUGCACUACAGGCAUGGAUGGCGGCAUGAGCAUCUGGGACAUGAAGAGCCUGGAGUCAGCCUUGAAGGAACUGAAGAUUAAAUGA